rnacentral:rRNA from 1 species
CGGNGGUAGUAAUGCCUAGGAAUCUGCCUGGUAGUGGGGGACAACGUUUCGAAAGGAACGCUAAUACCGCAUACGUCCUACGGGAGAAAGCAGGGGACCUUCGGGCCUUGCGCUAUCAGAUGAGCCUAGGUCGGAUUAGCUAGUUGGUGAGGUAAUGGCUCACCAAGGCGACGAUCCGUAACUGGUCUGAGAGGAUGAUCAGUCACACUGGAACUGAGACACGGUCCAGACUCCUACGGGAGGCAGCAGAU